rnacentral:rRNA from 1 species
AUUGAACGCUGGCGGCAGGCCUAACACAUGCAAGUCGAGCGGAUGAGGGGAGCUUGCUCCUGGAUCCAGCGGCGGACGGGUGAGUAAUGCCUAGGAAUCUGCCUGGUAGUGGGGGAUAACGUCCGGAAACGGGCGCUAAUACCGCAUACGUCCUGAGGGAGAAAGUGGGGGAUCUUCGGACCUCACGCUAUCAGAUGAGCCUAGGUCGGAUUAGCUAGUUGGUGGGGUAAAGGCCUACCAAGGCGACGAUCCGUAACUGGUCUGAGAGGAUGAUCAGUCACACUGGAACUGAGACACGGUCCAGACUCCUACGGGAGGCAGCAGUGGGGAAUAUUGGACAAUGGGCGAAAGCCUGAUCCAGCCAUGCCGCGUGUGUGAAGAAGGUCUUCGGAUUGUAAAGCACUUUAAGUUGGGAGGAAGGGCAGUAAGUUAAUACCUUGCUGUUUUGACGUUACCAACAGAAUAAGCACCGGCUAACUUCGUG